CCUACGGGUGGCUGCAGUGGGGAAUUUUGGACAAUGGGGGCAACCCUGAUCCAGCCAUGCCGCGUGAGUGAAGAAGGCCUUCGGGUUGUAAAGCUCUUUCGGCCGGGAAGAAAUCGCUUCGGCUAAUACCUGGAGUGGAUGACGGUACCGGAAGAAGAAGCACCGGCUAACUACGUGCCAGCAGCCGCGGUAAUACGUAGGGGGCGAGCGGGAAUCGGAAUGACCGGGGGCGGUUUCGUCGGACGCGGUUGAAAUCCCCGGGCUUAACCUGGGAACUGCGUUUGUGACUGCGAGACUUGAGUGCGGCAGAGGGGGGUGGAAUUCCACGUGUAGCAGUGAAAUGCGUAGAGAUGUGGAGGAACACCGAUGGCGAAGGCAGCCCCCUGGGUCGACACUGACGCUCAUGCACGAAAGCGUGGGGAGCAAACAGGAUUAGAUACCCUAGUAGUC
rnacentral:rRNA from 1 species